ACGCUGGGCGGGGUGCGGCGUUCUCUGGGCUCCGGAGGCGGAACUGGGUCUCCCAGGGUUGGGUAGUACAGUUGAGGUCAAGCUCCCCGCGUUCCUGGCUUUGCGCCUAGCUGUACGCAUUGCAGGUUCUGUUUCAACCACUAUGGGAAAAGGAUUUUGGUUGGGUUUGUUUUAUUUUUUAGAUUUUUUUUUAUGUGUAUGAGUGUUUUGUCGGCAUGUAUGUACGUGCACCAGGUGCGUCCCUUGUAAAAGAAAAGUCAUCGCAUCCCUUGGAACCGGAGUUAUGGAUGGUUGUUAGCUGAGAAGCGAACCCAGGUCCUUCGUAAGAGCAACGAGUGCGCUUAACCGCUGAGCCCCCUAAAAUAUACUUAAAAAAAAGAAGAAGAAGAAAAUAUGAUGAGCGGGCCAUCUACCUGCUUCCCCAAUAGAACAACAGUUUAUAUAGCAUUAAUUGCGUUAGUUGAUGUACUAAUCCACAGAUGAUUUAAAAUAUGCAAGAGGAUUUAUGUAGUUUUAUUGCAGACACUGUGCUAUUCGAUAUAAGGCGUCCGCUAGUUCAUUAUUUGCAGGGGGCGUGUUAACAAUCUCCUAGGUCACCAGUCGGUUUAUGCGUAUCGCGUCUGGCCAGGAUCGGUUUAGCGCUGGAGUUCAGGAAGCGCUUGGUUAACUCUCCUAGACAGUCUCAUUUAAUCAGAUCUUCCAGAAGCUGACGUUUCCUUGAUGCAUGGCUGAGAGUCACUUCCAGGAACAGGCUGGAAUUUGCCAGCGCCCUUUAUCGACGGAAUUGUGUAAUUAGUGGCAUUGUUCAGGCUGUGGCCAGUUUAAGGGCGCUCUGUUCUUCUGGUCACCGUGUUCCCGCUCUGUUCUCCGGAUUGUUCUGUUAUCUCUACCGGGUCCAUUUGGUUUGCCGUGCACGGUUAAAGGGUUUGUCUGUUUUUAACAUUCACCAUUGUCACCCGCUUAGGUUCAGGGCAUACGAAUCCGACGUCGCCAUGUUGACUCCGGGCAGCUUCCGGGUUCCUCUCCUGGGUCCUGUCAAACCCACUGAUGUCUUCCAGGAGAGUUCAUGUGCAUUCACUAUUUUGCUCCACAAAACAAAUUUUGAAGCGAGAAGAGGGACAAAUCACUGUGAGUUCUUCUUACCCGGUCCCAGCCUGAGACGGGGUGUAGUGUAUGGAAAAUGUAAGUAAUGUGUAAAAUCUGUAACCGCAGAUGACAGUGGAGAUAUCACUAUGAGACUAUUAUUUAAGGAACUGAAGAUUCAACUUCCCUCUCGAAUUGGAGAGUGAAAUUUAAGCAGAAGUUAGUUCGUUAGUUCCUGGAGACCUUUUUCUUCGGCAAUCCCCAAGCUGCUUCAAGUUCGUGAGCUCCUUGUCUAUGAUCAGCCAGGAGCAAUAAGAAAUAAAAUCAUUUAAAAACUAAUAUCUCAUUAAGGAGGACGAAUUUGAGCCAUUGGGACCCCGAAGCCAGAUACACUUGAAAAUAACACUACUCUUACAGUUUUCUGGUUCUGUGACCUUGAUCCAGACCCCAACCUCCUGAAUCUUGGAUAUUUCCCCUGUAAAAUGAUAAGAACACAUGUCUCAAAAAGCAAAGAUUAAGAGUGACCGAGUAUAUAAAAAUGCCUACUAUGUGUUUGACAUCCACACUAAUCUGAAUUAGGAAGUGACAUUUGGUACUCUUUCGUUCCCUGAUCCUGAGUGAAUUAAACCUUCAACCUAAUUUCUGAGGGUUCUGGUGGACUCCUCACUCUCCUCACCAUCCCUCAACAUCCCCACCAAAAGCUACAGAGAAACCUUGUCUCAACAAACCAACCAACCAACCAACCAAAUAAACAAACAAAAAACCAGUUUGUCAAAGAGGCUCCUGUUUUCUUCUUCCUGGGACCUUUGGUCAUGAUGGGGGACAGGGCUGACGGGAGUAUUGUCACAGUCAUGUGGGUAUGAGGGAAAGCCCCACAUUGUGUCCACACGGCCCAACCCUAUCCUCAGGUCCAAUAAAGACCAGUCAUAAUCUGCAAAGCGGCAGAGCAUAGCAUUUUGCACCCACCACAGUCAUUUUUGCAUCAGUAGUGUGUGUGUGUGUGUGUCUAGUUUCAUGUGCCGGGCCAUGUCGUUCAAUCUCAAGAAAGAGUAGUCACACAGAUGACACUGGAAGGGCCAGUGGCCUGCGUGCAUGUGUGCAUGUGUGCAUGUAAUAAUGGCUGGGAAGCUGUCUGAGCAUGUGGAUUCCAGCUGCAGCUCUCCUGGUUGUAGUAGUUACCAGUCCUUCCUACUUGGUGGGUUCCGGGCCAGUGAGAGAUCCUAACUUUAAAAAAGAAAAGGAAAAAAAAAUAAAAAGCAUCUGAGUAACAGCAACCCAGGCUCUCCUCUGGCCUCCACAAAGACACGCACCUCCCCACGUAUGAACAUGUACAAACACACAUGAAAAGAAAAAAAAAGAAAGAAGAGGGCGUGAAGGAAGGUAAAGUGGUGGGGGGUGGGAGUGGAGGGGGAUCUUUAAUGUGAAGAGAAAUAAAUACCUCCUGAUGAGUCAUGGUGAUGGAUUUAAAAAAAAACACAGUGGGAAGUGGGGAUAUGAGCAACAUGCAAAAACAAAUAUGUAUAAAAUGUCAAAGUGAAACCCAUUAUUUGUAUACCAACUAAAUUUAAAGAUAACCUUUUAAAGAUAUGGGGGCAGGGAGGCUCAAUGGUUAAGAGCACUGACUGUAUUACAGAGGACCCGGGCUGGUGGCUCACAACAAUCUGUAACUCCAGUUGCAGGGGAUCAGACAGUUUUCUUCUAGCCUCCAUGGACAACCUCACACACACAGAUGAUACAUAGUUAUACAUGCAGGUAAAACACUUAUAUGCAUAAAAAUGAACAAAUUUUCAAAUAAAACAACCCAGGGACACUGUGCUAAACUCAAGGUAGGUUCCUUACUCCAGAAGAUCAGCCUGUGGUCUCCUGUUGGGAAGGUGAUUAAUCUUCCUCAGGCUCCUGAUACUUUCCAAUCACAGGAAUCAUUAUGGAACGUUGCUGUAAACCCUGGAAGGUCUGUUUGCUUCUUUUCAUGAGGGGAUUAAAGACACUGCAUCCUUGUGCAGCUAAGAGAAAACGCUUUCACGGAACCAAGAUGUUGGAAUCAAGAUACCCCCUGCACAGCUGCCCCUCAAGAUACCCCCUGCACAGCUGCCACUCAAGAUACCCCCUGCACAGCUGCCACUGAGAACAGUGGAGGCAGCAAAGAAGAUAUUGCAUUUUGGUGUUGGUGAGCAAGAAAGAAGAUGGUCUUUGCCCCCUUCCAACCCCAAUAACUUAAACUACCAGAGCAGCCACUUCAAGAUGCUUGUCUUGGUUAGUGGACCAGGAGAUGAAUACUUGAGUCAGAUAGAUGCUUUGGACCCGUGGGAUAAACAUAGGGCCCUCGACAUCCUGAAGCUUCGGGACCAACCACUUACAUAGCUAUAAGCCCAAGUUUGAGCAUCCCCUGCAACUCUCCAGUGGGUUGGAACUCAUGCUCUUCCUGCCUUAGCAUCCUGACUGCCUUUCGGAUUACAGGCUUGUGCCGCCACACCCAGUUUACCCCAAAGAGCUGACCUAUAACGAAGGAUUUACUUUGGCUUAUAGUUUCACUUAGACCUGUCACUUUGGGCCUGUGGUGACGCAAUCAUGAUGGGACUAUGUGGUGGAACAGAACCCGGGAAGAAAACAUGAGAGGAAUAUGGGGUCCCCACAUCUCCUUCGAGGCCAUUUCCUUAGUGACCUAACUUCCUCCCAGUGUUUUCCACUUCGUAAAGAUUGCACCACCUCAGAAGAGUGCCACAGGCUGGGGACCAAGCCUUUAACACAUGGGUGUUAGAGACAUUUCAGAUCCCACCGGCUGUGACUAUUGCACACAUCAACUAACAGCAGCUGUGGUUAACUGUAGAAGACCAAGCCAAUCAAAAGUUCAGCACGGAUCGGGGAGGGUCCCCAAGCCCCUAUCCCUGUUGGAGGAGCUACUGGAAGUUGAUGGCUGCUGCAGGAAGGAGAGUCACUGUCCUUUGGGGACUUGGCUGUUGGUAGGAUGCUCAUGCCCCAGCGGAUGGCUGUAUUUCCAUGCACUGUGUGGUAUAUGGGUAGCACUAAUUAGACUCGGGGAGUUAUUGAUAACAAUAAUAAUAAAAAGAAAGACAUGAAGUUGGAAGGGAGAUAGGGUCGAGGCACUAGAGGGGGUUGGAGGGCGAUAGUGAUGGACGGAUAUGAUCAAAAUACAGUGUAUACAUGUAUGGAUUUUUCAAAGAACAAAAAUAUCAUUUGUAAAAAAGCUUUGUUGACCACCCCUCCCCCUUACAUACACAUGUGUUCUCUGCUCUCCCACUUCCACCCCUGCCUGACAGUGGCUUCCUCCAUUUAAGGUGUAUCAAAGUUCACCCUUGUUAUAGCAUGGAUCAGUAUGUCAUUUCUUUUGUGGCCAAAUUGUACAUUACCAUAGAUAGAUAGAUAGGUAGAUAGAUAGAUAGAUAGAUAGAUAGAUAGAUAGAUAGAUAUAGAUAGAUACAUAUAUCUAUACAUAUAUCAUAUCAUAUCAUAUCUAUUGAUUCCUCCACUGCUGAUGCAGUGUCUGAUGCUGAUGUUGUUUCUACCUCUGGGCUGCUAAGAACACUGGUUUGUGUUUGCUUGAGUGCCUGUUUCUAAUACAGUCGAGGAUGUAUCUCAGAGCGGACUUGCUGAGUCAAAGUCAAACUGUCUUCCCCAGCAAUUAUACUACUUUCCAUGUCCCCCAGAAGGAUGGAGAUUUCAGUUUCUCCAUUUUCUCUUAGCAUCAUGACUAUGCUACUGAGUGUGAGGUGGGAUUUCAUUUUGCUUAUUCAUCUAUUCGAGGUAGGAUUUCCCCAUUUAAUGUUGGCCUCAAAUUCACCAUGCUGCUGAGAGUGAUCCUUCUGCUCAUGCCUGCCUUCAUAUUGAUUUUUAUUUUUGAGUGGCUAAGCUAUCUUUCCAUAUGCUUAUCAACCAUUUACACAGACACUCGAAGUAACUGCUCCAGAAAAUAAUUUUCCCUUUUUAUCCGUAUGGGUGUUUUCCCUGCAAGGAUGUCUAUAUACCACUUCUAUGCCUGGUGCCUUUGGAAGCCAGAAGAGGGCUUUGGAUCCCCUGGAGCUGGAGCUACAGAUGGCUGUGAGCUCUCAUGUGGGUGCUGGGAUUCAAACCCGGGUCCCCUGGAAGAGCAGCCAGUGCUCUUAACCACCGAGCCAUAGCUCUAGCUCCCUAGAAAAUUAUUCUGCCGUGCUUUGUUUUGGGAAUUCCAACUUCCACCUCCCCACCAGAGAUUUACUUCAAUGUCUCGACAGGCCUUUUUGUUUUACCACUGCAUCAAAAAUUUUAUUGCACGCAUAACUUGCUAGCAGAUUCUGACAGGCAUUUUAGAAGCCAUUUUGUAGUGUUCUAAAGCUUCGUGCCCAUCACAGGAAGGCAGUGCCUCUCGAAACAUAUUUAGAUUCCAUUAGGGUCCAUUUUGUUAUCACAUUGCCAACUCUCAGGGGUCAUUUUCUCUCCAUCAAAUGUCAUUCCACAGCAGCUCUGCUAUAGGAUGUGACCAAGUAGUACCAUUAGGUGGUGCUGUUGGGUUGAAAAUAUUCCAACCAACUCUAUUGUGGCUUUGCUAGCCUUCAGUUUUGCAGGCUGCUCAGAAAUCUUCUCUGAGGAAGCUAAUGCCUGCCCCUCUCCUCUCACCCCACACACCCACAGCCUGACACCCUCUCAUCACCCACUGCUAAUCAUGCCUCCCAAAGAAGUCCUCACCCAGGGAAUCUCCUCCCUGAUGACAUAACCAAGCUUUGCUGGUUGAGACACAUCAUCUCUUCCUUUCAUGUCCUACCCAUUGCCCACUACCCAAGUCAUCACACUUAAUCCUUGCCCCAGCUCAUACACAGCUCUCCCCCUUUAGCUUCCUCACUCAUUCCCACUCGCUCAUGUUUCUGCCAGCUAUCUGGCAUGAACUUCCAGAGUAGCAGCUCACUUCUCCUUUCUGUUAUUCUCCUUCCAAGGAGUUGAGGGAAAGUGGUCCGGAAGAGCCUUUGUCUCACCAUCAAAGCCAUUUCCUCUUCCUUGAAAGUCUAAUCACCUUCCUCAGCCACAUCUUCUCUAGCAUUUUGCACCAUCUCUAACAUUCCUCACUGUCAGCAAAGCCCUAAAUUCUUUCAGGAACCACCACAGGACUAGAUUCAUCUGUCACGUACUCCACACUUAAAAGCGAAGCAAAACAAACCAAAACCAAAACCAAGAAAUAGGAGCCAGGAAUGUAAUUCAACAGAGUGCUUUGCCAGCAUGCACAAAGCCUCAUGCCCAACAAUGAACGAAUGCAGACGUGGUGGCACAUGCUGGUAGCAUCAGCAUUGAGAGGUGGUGACAGGAGGCUGGAAGUUCAAGGUCAUCCUCGACUCUUCAAGGCAUUCAAGUAGCCUGGGGUUUAUGAAAGCCUAUCUUACAAAGGCAAUAAAACACAAAAUGUAGGGGUUAAAGAGAUAGCCAUGAAGAACACUUGCUUUUCUUCCAGAGGAUCUGCGUUAGGUUUCCAGCAUCCACUGCAGGCAGCUCCAGCUCCAGGAGAUCUGAUACUUUUUUCUGGCCUCUACAGGCACCCGUACAUAUAUGGCAUACACAUACCACCACCAACAACAACAACAACCCAACUUGGAAAAAACAUUUUACAGCUGGAAAGUACAGCUCAGUAGAGAGUAUUUGCUUAGCAUACAUGAGGCCCUGGGUUCAAACCCCAGCCCUGCAAUUAAAAAAACACAAAAUACAUACAUAAAUAUACAUAUAUAAAAUUACACUUUCCAAAUAUUUUACUAAAGCAUUUAUUUUUUUAAACAAAAAUAUACAUUAAAUCUCAGAUUUACAGCAUAUAGAAAUAAUUUAUGAUUUGCAUUUUAAAAUUAUUAAUAUUGCACCCAACAGUGUAAGUCUUUGACACAUAUGCAUUGUCAACCUUUCCCACCAUUCAAAAAAAAGUGAAACUUGAAACUGACAAAAUUCACAAGCUAAAUUUUCUGUAAAAAAAAAAAAAGA